UACGGAGGGUGCGAGCGUUGUCCGGAAUCAUUGGGCGUAAAGGGCGCGUAGGUGGCCCGGUCAGUUCGUGGUGAAAGCGCGGGGCUCAACCCUGCGUCGGCCAUGAAUACUGCCGCGGCUGGAGCACUGUAGAGGCAGGCGGAAUUCCGGGUGUAGCGGUGGAAUGCGUAGAGAUCCGGAAGAACACCGGUGGCGAAGGCGGCCUGCUGGGCUGUUGCUGACGCUGAGGCGCGACAGCGUGGGGAGCAAAAGGG
rnacentral:rRNA from 1 species